rnacentral:lncRNA from 1 species
GAUAAUUUAUUAAAGCUGGAAAGCUAUGUAUUUAUACACAGAAUGAACAAAGAUUGUUCUAAAAAACAGGAAAGAAAUUUGGUAAUAAACCAAUAGUUAAAACAGAACUAAUUAAUUUCCUAAUAAUUUGGAGACUUAUUCAAUAACAAAAAUGCUAACUUGCAGGAUGUUAAACACAUGAUCCUAACACUCCUCCUUGUUUAAAUGCUGCAAACUCCCAGUUUAGCUGUGAAAUCUUCGAACUUGCUGACUGGCAGAGG